CUAUGGGGCACAGCUCAGCACCACCCAAUGACGUCAGCCCCUCCCAAUGACGUCACCACCCAAUGACGUCACCCCGCGCCAUGACGUCACAGCGGCACUUCCGUUUAUUACAAGCGAUCGUUUGGCCCCAAAUCCGCCCCUCCCCCCCACACCUCCGCCCCACAGCGCCGCCGCAGCCAUUCAGUGGGGCAGGACACCACUUGUGGGGCAGAGACUCACUUAUGGGGCAGAUCCCACUUAUGGGGCAGAGACUCACUUGUGGGUCACUGUCACACUUAUGGGUCACUGUCACACUUAUGGGUCGCAGCUCCACUUGUGGGUCGCAGCUCCACUUGUGGGUCAGUCCGUGGGUCCGUCCGUGUCUUCCUUUAUGGGCCCACAUCCACUUGUGGGGCAGCGCUAUGGGGCAGAGCUUCACUUAUGGGGCACGGUCCCACUUGUGGGGCAGACCCCCACUUAUGGGGCAGGGCUCAACUUAUGGGUCAGUCCGUGUGGGUCGCGGCCCCACUUAUGGGUCGCAGCUCCACUUGUGGGUCGGAUCCCAGUUGUGGGGCAGAGCCGCACUUAUGGGACAGAGCUCCACUUGUGGGGCAGGGCUCAACUUAUGGGUCGCAGCUCCACUUGUGGGUCAGUGCGUGGGUCCAUCCAUGUCCUCCCGUGGGUCCACAUCCACUUGUGGGGCAGAGCUAUGGGGCAGAGCUUCACUUGUGGGUCAGAGCUCCACUUGUGGGUCAGAGCUCCACUUAUGGGUCAGUCCGUGGGUCCGUCCGUGUUUUCAUUUCUGGGCCCACAUCCACUUGUGGGGCAGAGCCACGGAGUGCAGCUAUGGGGCAGCGCUAUGGGGCAGGGUCCCACUUGUGGGGCAGGGCUUCACUUAUGGGUCAGAGCUUCACGUACUUCUGGGGCAGCGCCCCACUUAGGGGUCACGGUCCCACUUAUGGGUCAGUCUGUAUGGGGUGGCGCUGUGGGGCAGAGCCAUGGAGGGUCGCUAUGGGGCAGAGCCCCACUUAUGGGGCAGAGCGUCACUUAUGGGUCUGAGCCCCACUUGUGGGUCAGUCUGUGUGGGUCAGAGCCUCACUUAUGGGGCAGAGCCCCACUUGUGGGUCAGUCUGUGUGGGUCAGAGCCCCACUUAUGGGGCAGAGCCCACUUAUGGGUCAGUCUGUGUGGAUUAAUGCCCUACUUAUGGGGCACAGCCCCACUUGUGGGUCUGCGUGGGUCAGAACCUCACUUAUGGGGCAGAGCCGCACUUAUGGGUCACAGCCCCACUUAUGGGUCACAGCCCCACUUAUGGGGCAGAGCCCCACUUAUGGGUCUGAGCCUCACUUGUGGGUCAGUCUGUGUGGGUUAAUGCCCUACUUAUGGGUCAGAUCCCACUUGUGGGUCAGAUCCCACUUAUGGGUCAGGGCCCCACUUAUGGGUCACAGCCCCACUUAUGGGGCAGAGCUCCACUUGUGGGUCACACCUCCAUUUAUGGGUCACAGCCCCUGUGACCUAUGGGGCAAAGGCUGACCUAUGGGGCAGAGACGCAGCUAUGGGGCAGAGAUCCUCAUCUAUGGGGCGGAGACCCAUCUAUGGGGCAGAGACCCUCAUCUAUGGGGCAGAGAUCCUCAUCUAUGGGGUGGAGGCUCUGACCUGC
rnacentral:lncRNA from 1 species